UACGUAGGAGGCAAGCGUUGUCCGGAAUUACUGGGCGUAAAGCGCGUGUAGGUGGUGGGACAAGUCUGCUGUGAAAGCGCCUGGCUUAACCGGGCGAGGUCGGCGGAAACUGUUCGACUCGAGGACGGUAGAGGGGGGUGGAAUUCCCGGUGUAGUGGUGAAAUACAUAGAGAUGUCAUAGAACACCGAUUGCGAAGGCAGCUCACAAAACUGUAACUGACACUGAGGCUCGAAAGUGCGGGGAUCAAACAGG
rnacentral:rRNA from 1 species